UUGUGUACUUUCUUGUAUGAAAACACUUUGUGUUUACAUGCAAAGAGAGGCAUGAUGUAGACACGUAAUUUUGUCCCUCCCCGAAAGCAUUUUUAUCUAUUUUUAUCCUCGUCUUACCAUGUAUCCUACCCCAGGUGAUAAUCUCUUCACAAAAGAACAAAAAAUAACUUCUAACAAAUUAACAACUCACCCAAAUAAAAUUUAACACAUCACACCCCUACCCCUACCCUACCUUACUACCCUACCCCACGUACCUCCUUCACAUUUUUCUUCUUUUUGUAACAAACCAUAGCAGAAUAAGGGACACAUACACAUUGAGGAGAAAGGAUCCAAAAUAGACAUCACACACAAUAUAAGGGGAGAGAGAUUCCAUCUCCGGGGGGGGGGGGGUCUUUCUUCCAUUUUCACAGAACACACGCACAUAGAGCCAUAAAAUUCUUCAUAUUUUUCCUUCUUUCAUAUACACCCACACCACACACACAGAACAUGCACGCAACAAUAUACUCUUACCCACAUAGAGUUCCAAAUCAAGAGAGUGGUAGGAUAGAGGAAAGAGACGCGAGGGAGAUAGCGGAAAAGGGGGAAGUGAUUGGAAAAAAGGAACUGAGCGAGAGAGAGGGGAAAAAAGAUGUAGGCUGACUAUUUCCGGUGAUCUUUCGCUGAAAACUAGCCAAAAUCCGACACUGGAGAAUACCAUUGAUCUCUAAAAUCACCUAAAAAUUGACCAAAAUUCAGUUCAGGUGAGGUUUUCUUCAUUUUUUUGGUGAAUUCCGUUAAAGUUUUGUUAGAAAACGACAAACCAGCUGACUGUUCCUAACCAACUACCACCGUAAAUAGUCAAAACUACCAUAAACAGCUCGGCUCCAAUGAAAUUGAACAGAAAAUGAGCUACACAGUGACGUUUAUGCAUGAAAUCGGGUUCAGGUGUGGUCUAUCUUUCGCGAUAUCUAUUCAACUCAACUUGGUUUUUGAUUUCGUGAUUUCCCUAUUGGGUUCUGAUUUGAACGGAGCUUAGGUCAAAGUUUGUUGAUUUGGGGAUCGUAUAUGAGGUUCGAGUCGAGGUUUUUCUGUUGUGGGUCUAUCUUCAAUAUAUCGAAACCGACAAUUGAGGCUGAUCAUACGCUGCUACAAUAUUCGCUUCAGGGAAUGAAGCAGAUCCAGUGGGACGAGCUUCAUGAUUUUUCAUUCACAAAGUAUUAUUCUGCUCUGCCACAAGUAGGCUUGUAAUCAAUUCAGAAUAUUUAUUAAAUCCCUUUUCACGAUAUUGCUGUUGUAACAAUACAUUAAAAUCAUGAAAAGUGGAAAAAGUUUUCUCUA